GCCGAUGUAGCUUAGUGGUAAAGCACACCCUUGGUAAGGGUGAGACCACGGGUUCGAUCCCCGUCAUCGGCUCCA
rnacentral:tRNA from 1 species